rnacentral:misc_RNA from 1 species
CUUCUAUGACGUUUGGCACGCCGGAGGCUCUGGAUCACUUGCGCAAACUAACCGACGUCGGAGCCAUGACGCGCCUUCUCCAUGAGUGCAUCGCUUACCAACGGGCUCUCGAUCUCGACCUUGACAACCUCCAACGCUCGGAUCUCGACAAGCACCUCCUCCACCUUCAGAAAUCCGCGGAGGUGCUCGACAUCGUCAAGGCGGAUUCCGACCACAUG